GGCGAUGUGGUGAAAUUGGUAGACACGCUACUUUGAGGUGGUAGUUAGAGCAAUCUUGUAGGAGUUCGAGUCUCCUCAUCGUCA
rnacentral:tRNA from 1 species